GCCCAGCAGCUAGCCCGCCCAAUAUAAAUCAACACCCACUAUUAAUACCCCCUAAUAUUCUUAAACCUAUUAAACAAAACAUUCUUCCCCCCUAAUACGGGCGACGGAAAAGGAACUAUGAGCUAUAGAGAAAGCACCGCAACGGAAAG
rnacentral:rRNA from 1 species